rnacentral:rRNA from 1 species
UUUAUGGAGAGUUUGAUCCUGGCUCAGAGUGAACGCUGGCGGCGUGCCUAAUACAUGCAAGUCGAACGAUGAAGCUUCUAGCUUGCUAGAAUGCUGAUUAGUGGCGCACGGGUGAGUAACGCAUAGGUUAUGUGCCUCUUAGUUUGGGAUAGCCAUUGGAAACGAUGAUUAAUACCAGAUACUCCCUACGGGGGAAAGAUUUAUCGCUAAGAGAUCAGCCUAUGUCCUAUCAGCUUGUUGGUAAGGUAAUGGCUUACCAAGGCUAUGACGGGUAUCCGGCCUGAGAGGGUGAACGGACACACUGGAACUGAGACACGGUCCAGACUCCUACGGGAGGCAGCAGUAGGGAAUAUUGCUCAAUGGGGGAAACCCUGAAGCAGCAACGCCGCGUGGAGGAUGAAGGUUUUAGGAUUGUAAACUCCUUUUGUUAGAGAAGAUAAUGACGGUAUCUAACGAAUAAGCACCGGCUAACUCCGUGCCAGCAGCCGCGGUAAUACGGAGGGUGCAAGCGUUACUCGGAAUCACUGGGCGUAAAGAGCGCGUAGGCGGGAUAGUCAGUCAGGUGUGAAAUCCUAUGGCUUAACCAUAGAACUGCAUUUGAAACUACUAUUCUAGAGUGUGGGAGAGGUAGGUGGAAUUCUUGGUGUAGGGGUAAAAUCCGUAGAGAUCAAGAGGAAUACUCAUUGCGAAGGCGACCUGCUGGAACAUUACUGACGCUGAUUGCGCGAAAGCGUGGGGAGCAAACAGGAUUAGAUACCCUGGUAGUCCACGCCCUAAACGAUGGAUGCUAGUUGUUGGAGGGCUUAGUCUCUCCAGUAAUGCAGCUAACGCAUUAAGCAUCCCGCCUGGGGAGUACGGUCGCAAGAUUAAAACUCAAAGGAAUAGACGGGGACCCGCACAAGCGGUGGAGCAUGUGGUUUAAUUCGAAGAUACACGAAGAACCUUACCUAGGCUUGACAUUGAGAGAAUCCGCUAGAAAUAGUGGAGUGUCUGGCUUGCCAGACCUUGAAAACAGGUGCUGCACGGCUGUCGUCAGCUCGUGUCGUGAGAUGUUGGGUUAAGUCCCGCAACGAGCGCAACCCCCUUUCUUAGUUGCUAACAGGUCAUGCUGAGAACUCUAAGGAUACUGCCUCCGUAAGGAGGAGGAAGGUGGGGACGACGUCAAGUCAUCAUGGCCCUUACGCCUAGGGCUACACACGUGCUACAAUGGGGUGCACAAAGAGAAGCAAUACUGCGAAGUGGAGCCAAUCUUCAAAACACCUCUCAGUUCGGAUUGUAGGCUGCAACUCGCCUGCAUGAAGCUGGAAUCGCUAGUAAUCGCAAAUCAGCCAUGUUGCGGUGAAUACGUUCCCGGGUCUUGUACUCACCGCCCGUCACACCAUGGGAGUUGUGUUUGCCUUAAGUCAGGAUGCUAAAUUGGCUACUGCCCACGGCACACACAGCGACUGGGGUGAAGUCGUAACAAGGUAACCGUAGGUGAACCUGCGGUUGGAUCACCUCCUUU